CCUCUUUUUCUCUCUCAUGAACUGCGCAACUAUUGCACUGCACAGACCCACCAUCUCUCAUGAACUGCGCAACUAUUCCUCUCUCUCUCUCUGAGGGAGCACAUCUAACCCUAGAAACUCUUCAAUGGCUUUCUCACGCUUCCCUAAUAACGAGAUCGAAUUAACCUCUUCCUCGUCAACCUCCUUUGCCCAAACUGUCCGAUUCCGGUGGUUCCUCCAUGUGCCGCCACCGUUCCUCCAUCAAUGGCCAUUUAUAGCAACCUUGCAAGCGGAGCCACCGCUUUAAUUCUCUUCUUCACCAACCUUUACGGCCCACAGGUGGUCGCACCGCCCAAGUUUUUCUACACUACGGCUCCCACCGGAAGUCCUGACAGCGUCGCCGCCUGCAACCACCUUGGGGGGGUUUGAGGCUAAGGCAGUGAAGAAGGGUUUAUACUUUCUAUGUGAGACUGGACAUGCCUGGGGUUGAGGAAGAGGACGUGGAGGUAUGGAUGGAGUAUGACACCCUUUUUCUCAAAGGUGAAGCCCGGAGAGCAUGGGAGCAAGAAAUCUACGGCAGGUUGUACUGUGGGAGCAUAGAUCUUCUGCCCCAGUAGGGGAAGAAGAGGUUGAUUACGUUAAGAAUUCACAUCAUUUUUAUGGGCCAAGAGAGGAGUUUGAGGCUAAGGCAGUGAAGAAGUGUUUGUAUGUGACAGUGGACAUGCCUGGCGUUGAGGAAGAGGACGCGGAGGUAUCGCUUGAUAACGAUACCGUUUUUCGUCAAAGGUGAAGCCCGGAAAGAAUGGGAGCAAGGAAUAUAUGGCAGGUUGUACUGUGGGAGCAUUGAUCUUCUGCCAGAAUCGGGGAAGAAGGUUGGUGUUCUUAAGAAGGAUCUGAAGAAUGGUGUUGUAACAAUGGUCCUGGAUGCUUCUCGUGGACGACGACGGUUACUCAGUUUACCAGUAGCAAUCUUGAAUUCCCAGCUGUGAUAUAGAAUUUCUGCUUCUUAACCCUCCAGGUCUGAUUUGUAGGUUUUUUGCUCUUCGUUUUAGUUUAGUACCAGUUUGUGUGUGUAUAAUCUACAUGUUUAAGAUGUUUUUGUUUUAGAUACAGAUAAAUACAGAAGUUAUUUUAUCCAUUGGACUCUAAAGAAAAAUUUAAGAGCUGUGGGAUCAGCGGUCUCUGAUGAUGUGCGUUUGGGUUUUCUGUCCGAGUCUCUUCUUCCUGAUAUGCCUUCCUCCUAUGCAUGCAUAUUAGAGGAUAGUUUGGC